GCAACGCGAAGAACCUUACCAGGUCUUGACAUCCCGAUGCUAUUCUAGAGAUAGAAAGUACUUCGGUACAUCGGUGACAGGUGGUGCAUGGUUGUCGUCAGCUCGUGUCGUGAGAUGUUGGGUUAAGUCCCGCAACGAGCGCAACCCCUAUUGUUAGUUGCCAUCAUUCAGUUGGGCACUCUAGCGAGACUGCCGGUAAUAAACCGGAGGAAGGUGGGGAUGACGUCAAAUCAUCAUGCCCCUUAUGACCUGGGCUACACACGUGCUACAAUGGUUGGUACAACGAGUUGCGAGUCGGUGACGGCGAGCUAAUCUCUUAAAGCCAAUCUCAGUUCGGAUUGUAGGCUGCAACUCGCCUACAUGAAGUCGGAAUCGCUAGUAAUCGCGGAUCAGCACGCCGCGGUGAAUACGUUCCCGGGCCUU
rnacentral:rRNA from 1 species